AAUAGAGGAAAGUCGUAACAUGGUAAGUCUACCGGAAGGUGGCCUUGGAACGGAAUAUAGCUUAAACAAAGCAUUUUGCUUACACCAAAAAAAUAUCUAUUAUAGAUUAUUCUGAAUUGCAAACUUAGCCGAACACCUUAAAACCCAAUAUUAUAACAAAACCAUUUUCAUGUGUAAGUAUGGGCGAUAGAAAACUUAUCUGCGCAAUAAAUAUAGUACUGUAAAGGAAAAAUGAAAUAGAAAUUAAAUAAACCAUAAAAAUAUUAUAAAGCAAAGAUAAAUACUCGUACCUUUUGCAUCAUGGCCUAGCAAGUCUAACCCGACAAAAAGAAUUUUAACCGGACACCCCGAAACCAGACGAGCUACCUUGUGGGCAACAAUAUGAGCAAAUCUCCUCCCUGUGGCAAAAUGGAGGAAAGACCCCAAGGUAGUAGGUGACAAGCCUACCGAGCCUGGAUAUAGCUGGUUACUUGAAAAUGAAUUUAAGUUCAACUAAAGGCAAAUAAACUAACAAGGAAAACCUUCACCUUUAUUAUAACCAAUUAGGGUACAGCCUAAUUAGUAAGGGAUACAACCCAUAUUAAUGGAUAAUGAUUAUAUAUACUAAGAAUGCAUAGCCCAGUGGGCCUAAAAGCAGCCACCACAAUAAUAUCGUCAAAGAUUAACUCAUGCAUAUUCCACUAUCUCAAUAAAACAUCUAAACCCAAUAACACAAUCAAGUUAAUCUAUUAAUAGAUAAAUUAUUUCUAGGAUGAGUAAUAAGGAAACUUCCUCUAUAAUACACGUGUAAAUCAGAACGGACCUGCCACCGAUAAUUAACGAUUACUUAUAAUAUAUAAUCAAGAAUAUAUAUAUAUAUUUUAACCGUUAACCCAACACAGGAUUAUUAAAGAAAAACCAAAAGUAUGGAAAGGAACUCGGCAAAUCAGGCUUCGCCUGUUUACCAAAAACAUCGCCUUUUGAUUUAUUAACAUAAAAGGUCCUGCCUGCCCAGUGACAAUUGUUCAACGGCCGCGGUAUUAUGACCGUGCAAAGGUAGCGUAAUCACUUGUCCUUUAAAUAAAGACCAGUAUGAACGGCAAGACGAAAGCCUAACUGUCUCUUCACACUAGUUAAUGAAAUUAAUUUUUCCGUGCAGAAGCGGAAAUAUUACUAUAAGACGAGAAGACCCUGUGGAGCUUUAAGUUAAAACUAAUUAUUUAAUAUAAUAUAGCUAAAACUUUAGGUUGGGGCGACCGCGAGGUAAAAUAAAACCCUCUAGAUAAAAUAUUAGAAGGACACUUCAAACAAACAAAAAUUUGAUAUAUUGACCCAAAAAUUGAUCAACGAACCAAGUUACCCCAGGGAUAACAGCGCAAUCCACUCACAGAGUCCUUAUCGACGAGUGGGUUUACGACCUCGAUGUUGGAUCAGGACCUCCAAAUAAUGUAACAAUUAUUAAAGGUUCGUUGUCAACGAUU
rnacentral:rRNA from 1 species